AACGUAGGACACAAGCGUUAUCCGGAGUUACUGGGCGUAAAGCGUGUGCAGGCGGGCUAGCAAGUGGUGUAUGAAAGCUCCCGGCUCAACCGGGAAGGGUUAUGCCAGACUGCUAGUCUUGAGUGCGAGAGAGGAGCGUGGAAUUCCGGGUGUAGUGGUGAAAUGCGUAGAUAUCGAGAGGAACACCUGCGGCGAAGGCGGGUUGCUGGGCUGACACUGACGCUGAGGCGCGAAAGCCAGGGGAGCGAACGGG
rnacentral:rRNA from 1 species